rnacentral:rRNA from 1 species
GAUGAACGCUGGCGGCGUGCCUAAUACAUGCAAGUCGAGCGAAUGGAUUAAGAGCUUGCUCUUAUGAAGUUAGCGGCGGACGGGUGAGUAACACGUGGGUAACCUGCCCAUAAGACUGGGAUAACUCCGGGAAACCGGGGCUAAUACCGGAUAACAUUUUGAACCGCAUGGUUCGAAAUUGAAAGGCGGCUUCGGCUGUCACUUAUGGAUGGACCCGCGUCGCAUUAGCUAGUUGGUGAGGUAAUGGCUCACCAAGGCAACGAUGCGUAGCCGACCUGGGAGGGUGAUCGGCCACACUGGGACUGAGACACGGCCCAGACUCCUACGGGAGGCAGCAGUAGGGAAUCUUCCGCAAUGGACGAAAGUCUGACGGAGCAACGCCGCGUGAGUGAUGAAGGCUUUCGGGUCGUAAAACUCUGUUGUUAGGGAAGAACAAGUGCUAGUUGAAUAAGCUGGCACCUUGACGGUACCUAACCAGAAAGCCACGGCUAACUACGUGCCAGCCACCGCGGUAA